UAGAGUGAGUGGCGAACUGGUGAGUAACACGUGGGAAACCUGCCCAGAAGCGGGGGAUAACACCUGGAAACAGAUGCUAAUACCGCAUAACAACUUGGACCGCAUGGUCCGAGUUUGAAAGAUGGCUUCGGCUAUCACUUUUGGAUGGUCCCGCGGCGUAUUAGCUAGAUGGUGGGUAACGGCUCACCAUGGCAAUGAUACGUAGCCGACCUGAGAGGGUAAUCGGCCACAUUGGGACUGAGACACGGCCCAAACUCCUACGGGAGGCAGCAGUAGGGAAUCUUCCACAAUGGACGAAAGUCUGAUGGACAACGCCGCGUGAGUGA
rnacentral:rRNA from 1 species